rnacentral:rRNA from 1 species
AACGAACGCUGGCGGCAUGCCUAAUACAUGCAAGUCGAACGAGAUCUUCGGAUCUAGUGGCGCACGGGUGCGUAACGCGUGGGAAUCUGCCCUUGGGUUCGGAAUAACUUCUGGAAACGGAAGCUAAUACCGGAUGAUGACGUAAGUCCAAAGAUUUAUCGCCCAAGGAUGAGCCCGCGUAGGAUUAGGUAGUUGGUGAGGUAAAGGCUCACCAAGCCGACGAUCCUUAGCUGGUCUGAGAGGAUGAUCAGCCACACUGGGACUGAGACACGGCCCAGACUCCUACGGGAGGGAGGAAUAGGGAAUAUUGGAAAAUGGGCGAAAGGCUGAACCAGCAAUGGCGCGUGAGUGAAGAAGGGCUUAGGGUUGUAAAGCUCUUUUACCCGGGAUGAUAAUGACAGUACCGGGAGAAUAAGCUCCGGCUAACUCCGUG